GUUUGCAUCUUCACUACCACUAGAGGUGUGCUGGAGUCAGAGAAAAGCCAAACCAGCUGUACCUCAUCACCGUAAUCAAGCCCUCUACAAAUACCCAGCUCUGCCACUCCCGACCUGCCAGAUGCUUCAUUUCAUUUGUUCUGUCUCCAUGGCUCCCCUCAUCGUCCUUGUGUUUCCUUCUCCCUGUUCUGUGGGUCAAGCUGCCACCAUCUCACUAGCCAUCACCCAAGCCUGCUCCACUGGUCUCCACCCUCAGCCACAGCACCAUCAUCCCCCCCCCAUAUGUUACGGUCUCUUUGAGAAUACUUCCUCAAAUGCAAAUUCUAAAUCAUGCCAUUGGUUAGAAGCAUACAGUAUGUCUGCAAUAACUCCAUCCUGUGUGAAGUAUUUCACUUUGUGUAAGUUUUUUUGAUAUGUAAUCUUGGUGAAUCCUUUGUGACAUAAAAAAGCAAGUAUUUUUUGCUCAGUCACAGAAGAAAAAAUGUUGAGGCUUUUGUCCUAAAGCAAUAGUUGUAGAUUAUAGUGGUAACUUAACUUUUUCCAGUGGCAAAAUAAAGGAA